UACGUAGGUGGCAAGCGUUGUCCGGAUUUAUUGGGUUUAAAGGGUGCGUAGGCGGUUCUAUAAGUCAGUGGUGAAAUACGGCAGCUCAACUGUCGAGGUGCCAUUGAUACUGCAGAACUUGAGUACAGACGAGGUAGGCGGAAUUGACGGUGUAGCGGUGAAAUGCUUAGAUAUCGUCAAGAACACCGAUAGCGAAGGCAGCUUACUAGACCGUAACUGACGCUGAGGCACGAAAGUGUGGGGAUCAAACAGG
rnacentral:rRNA from 1 species